AUUGAACGCUGGCGGUAUGCUUUACACAUGCAAGUCGAACGGUAGUCCUUCGGGAUGAGAGUGGCGAACGGGUGAGUAAUAUAUCGGAACAUAUCCGUAAGUGGGGGAUAACGUAGAGAAAUUUACGCUAAUACCGCAUAUUCCCUGAGGGGGAAAGGAGGGGAUCGCAAGACCUUUCGCUAACGGAGUGGCCGAUAUCGGAUUAGCUAGUAGGUGAGGUAAAGGCUCACCUAGGCGGCGAGCCGUAGUGGGUCUGAGAGGAUGAUCCGCCACACUGGAACUGAGACACGGUCCAGACUCCUACGGGAGGCAGCAGUGGGGAAUUUUGGACAAUGGGCGAAAGCCUGAUCCAGCCAUACCGCGUGAGUGAAGAAGGCCUUCGGGUUGUAAAGCUCUUUCAGCCGGAAAGAAAACCUGCUUACUAAUACUAAGCGGGGAUGACGGUACCGGAAGAAGAAGCACCGGCUAACUACGUGCCAGCCGCCGCAGUAACAC
rnacentral:rRNA from 1 species